AAUGAAGUGCCUGAUUAAAAGGGCCAUUUUGAUAGAAUGGAUUAUGUGGUUUCACCUUCAUUA
rnacentral:tRNA from 1 species